rnacentral:rRNA from 1 species
UGGCUCAGGAUGAACGCUGGCGGCGUGCCUAAUACAUGCAAGUCGAGCGCGUGAAACUAAACAGAACUCUUCGGAGUGACGUAUAGCGGAUCGAGCGGCGGAUGGGUGAGUAACACGUGGGCAACCUGCCUAUAAGACUGGGAUAACUUACGGAAACGUGAGCUAAUACCGGAUGAAACCUCUUAUCACCUGGUAAGAGGAUGAAAGAUGGCUUUUAGCUAUCACUUAUAGAUGGGCCCGCGGCGCAUUAGCUAGUUGGUGAGAUAAAAGCUCACCAAGGCAACGAUGCGUAGCCGACCUGAGAGGGUGAUCGGCCACACUGGGACUGAGACACGGCCCAGACUCCUACGGGAGGCAGCAGUAGGGAAUCUUCCGCAAUGGACGAAAGUCUGACGGAGCAACGCCGCGUGAACGAAGAAGGUUCUCGGAUCGUAAAGUUCUGUUGUUAGGGAAGAACACGUACCAUUCGAAUAGGGUGGUACCUUGACGGUACCUAACGAGAAAGCCCCGGCUAACUACGUGCCAGCAGCCGCGGUAAUACGUAGGGGGCAAGCGUUGUCCGGAAUCACU